rnacentral:rRNA from 1 species
GAUGAACGCUGGCGGCGUGCCUAAUACAUGCAAGUCGAGCGAACGGACGAGAAGCUUGCUUCUCUGAUGUUAGCGGCGGACGGGUGAGUAACACGUGGAUAACCUACCUAUAAGACUGGGAUAACUUCGGGAAACCGGAGCUAAUACCGGAUAAUAUUUUGAACCGCAUGGUUCAAAAGUGAAAGACGGUCUUGCUGUCACUUAUAGAUGGAUCCGCGCUGCAUUAGCUAGUUGGUAAGGUAACGGCUUACCAAGGCAACGAUGCAUAGCCGACCGGAGAGGGUGAUCGGCCACACUGGAACUGAACCACGGUCCAGACUCCUACGGGAGGCAGCAGUAGGGAAUCUUCCGCAAUGGGCGAAAGCCUGACGGAGCAACGCCGCGUGAGUGAUGAAGGUCUUCGGAUCGUAAAACUCUGUUAUUAGGGAAGAACAUAUGUGUAAGUAACUGUGCACAUCUUGACGGUACCUAAUCAGAAAGCCACGGCUAACUACGUG